GGAAGUGUAGCUCAGCAGUAGAGCACUUGUCUGGACACAUAACACCCUGGGUUCUAUUCCCAGCACUGCCC
rnacentral:tRNA from 1 species